rnacentral:rRNA from 1 species
GACGUAGGGCGCGAGCGUUGUCCGGAUUUAUUGGGCGUAAAGAGCUCGUAGGCGGCUUGUCGCGUCGGCUGUGAAAUCCCGAGGCUCAACCUCGGGUCUGCAGUCGAUACGAGCAAACUAGAGUGUUGCAGGGGAGACUGGAAUUCCUGGUGUAGCGGUGAAAUGCGCAGAUAUCAGGAGGAACACCGGUGGCGAAGGCGGGUCUCUGGGCCGAUACUGACGCUGAGGAGCGAAAGCGUGGGGAGCGAACAGG